GCCAUACUGUGGCGGCCGUGGCUGUGACUCUGCUCAUGAUGAUGCUUUAUUAUUGCAGAAGAUUUUACUUCAAACGUGAUGAUCGCCGGAGGACCUACAUGAAUUCAUUCUAUGAUGCGGAGUCCAGGGACACCAUAUACAAGGCAGAUGAGCCUCCUGGAAGCGCUACAGUGGACAGUGUCCCUCGAGAUCCGAACCCUCAGGAUCAGAUGAGACAAGGAGCUGCUGAUGCAGAUGGAGAAAAUCUUAUGACUU